GACGAACGCUGGCGGCGUGCUUAACACAUGCAAGUCGAACGGAAAGGCCCUGCUUUUGUGGGGUGCUCGAGUGGCGAACGGGUGAGUAACACGUGAGUAACCUGCCCUUGACUUUGGGAUAACUUCAGGAAACUGGGGCUAAUACCGGAUAGGAGCUCCUGCUGCAUGGUGGGGGUUGGAAAGUUUCGGCGGUUGGGGAUGGACUCGCGGCUUAUCAGCUUGUUGGUGGGGUAGUGGCUUACCAAGGCUUUGACGGGUAGCCGGCCUGAGAGGGUGACCGGCAACAUUGGGACUGAGAUACGGCCCAGACUCCUACGGGAGGCAGCAGUGGGGAAUAUUGCACAAUGGGCGGAAGCCUGAUGCAGCAACGCCGUGUGCGGGAUGACGGCCUUCGGGUUGUAAACCGCUUUCGCCUGUGACGAAGCGUGAGUGACGGUAAUGGGUAAAGAAGCACCGGCUAACUACGUG
rnacentral:rRNA from 1 species